rnacentral:rRNA from 1 species
GAUGUCAGAUUAGCUAGUUGGUGAGGUAAAGGCUUACCAAGGCGACGAUCUGUAGCGGGUCUGAGAGGAUGAUCCGCCACACUGGAACUGAGACACGGUCCAGACUCCUACGGGAGGCAGCAGUGGGGAAUUUUGGACAAUGGGGGCAACCCUGAUCCAGCCAUGCCGCGUGAGUGAAGAAGGCCUUCGGGUUGUAAAGCUCUUUCGGCCGGGAAGAAAUCGCAUGGGCCAAUACCCUGUGUGGAUGACGGUACCGGAAUAAGAAGCACCGGCUAACUACGUGCCAGCAGCCGCGGUAAUACGUAGGGUGCGAGCGUUAAUCGGAAUUACUGGGCGUAAAGCGUGCGCAGGCGGUUUUGUAAGACAGGCGUGAAAUCCCCGGGCUUAACCUGGGAACUGCGUUUGUGACUGCAAGGCUAGAGUACGGCAGAGGGGGGUGGAAUUCCACGUGUAGCAGUGAAAUGCGUAGAGAUGUGGAGGAACACCAAUGGCGAAGGCAGCCCCCUGGGUCGAUACUGACGCUCAUGCACGAAAGCGUGGGUAGCAAACAGGAUUAGAUACCCUGGUAGUCCACGCCCUAAACUAUGUCAACUAGGUGUUGGGUGGGUAAAACCAUUUAGUACCGUAGCUAACGCGUGAAGUUGACCGCCUGGGGAGUACGGCCGCAAGGUUAAAACUCAAAGGAAUUGACGGGGACCCGCACAAGCGGUGGAUGAUGUGGAUUAAUUCGAUGCAACGCGAAAAACCUUACCUACCCUUGACAUGCCAGGAACUUGCCAGAGAUGGCUUGGUGCCCGAAAGGGAGCCUGGACACAGGUGCUGCAUGGCUGUCGUCAGCUCGUGUCGUGAGAUGUUGGGUUAAGUCCCGCAACGAGCGCAACCCUUGUCGUUAAUUGCCAUCAUUUAGUUGGGCACUUUAACGAGACUGCCGGUGACAAACCGGAGGAAGGUGGGGAUGACGUCAAGUCCUCAUGGCCCUUAUGGGUAGGGCUUCACACGUCAUACAAUGGUCGGUACAAAGGGUUGCCAAGCCGCGAGGCGGAGCCAAUCCCAGAAAGCCGAUCGUAGUCCGGAUUGCAGGCUGCAACUCGCCUGCAUGAAGUCGGAAUCGCUAGUAAUCGUGGAUCAGCAUGUCACGGUGAAUACGUUCCCGGGUCUUGUACACACCGCCCGUCACACCAUGGGAGCGGGUUCCGCCAGAAGUAGGUAGCCUAACCGCAAGGGGGGCGCUUACCA